CCUACGGGUGGCAGCAGUGAGGAAUAUUGGUCAAUGGCCGGAAGGCUGAACCAGCCAAGCCGCGUGAAGGACGAAGGUGCCAAGCAUUGUAAACUUCUUUUGUCAAGGGACAAAAUCAGGCUCGAGAGCCUGACCGAGGGUACUUUAAGAAAAAGCAUCGGCUAACUCCGUGCCAGCAGCCGCGGUAAUACGGAGGAUGCGAGCGUUAUCCGGAUUUAUUGGGGUUAAAGGGUGCGUCGGCGGAGUGGUAAGUCAGCGGUAAAAGCCCGGGGCGCAACCCCGGCGAGCCUUUGAAACUGGCUGUCUUGAGAGGUAGAGAGGUAUGCGGAAUGCGCAGUGUAGCGGUGAAAUGCUUAGAUAUUGCGCAGAACGCCGAUUGCGAAGGCAGCAUAGCGGCGGCGAUCUGACGCUGAGGCACGAAAGCGUGGGUAGCGAACAGGAUUAGAUACCCGAGUAGUC
rnacentral:rRNA from 1 species